rnacentral:misc_RNA from 1 species
ACAUUUUCGAGCCAAAAGCGUGAAACGGUUUCGCGUUGGAAAAUGUGACAAAACAAAGAGUUAGAGCGGUUCCAAUGAUUCCGUUUUAAACGGAACCGCUCUAGACGAAAGGGAAAACAAUACACGUGUGUAACUGUAUGAGGCUGCG